CCUACGGGAGGCAGCAGUGGGGAAUAUUGGGCAAUGGGCGCAAGCCUGACCCAGCAACGCCGCGUGAAGGAAGACGGCUUUCGGGUUGUAAACUUCUUUUCUGAGGGACGAAGAAAGUGACGGUACCUCAGGAAUAAGCGUCGGCUAACUACGUGCCAGGAGCCGCGGUAAUACGUAGGUGGCAAGCGUUAUCCGGAUUUAUUGGGUGUAAAGGGUGUGUAGGCGGGAAGGCAAGUCAGAUGUGAAAACUCAGGGCUCAACCCUGAGACUGCAUUUGAAACUGUUUUUCUUGAGUGCUGGAGAGGCAAUCGGAAUUCGGUGUGUAGCGGUGAAAUGCGUAGAUAUAAGGAGGAACACCAGUGGCGAAGGCGGAUUGCUGGACAGUAACUGACGCUGAGGCGCGAAAGCGUGGGGAGCAAACAGGAUUAGAUACCCUUGUAGUC
rnacentral:rRNA from 1 species